rnacentral:rRNA from 1 species
GACGAACGCUGGCGGCGUGCCUAAUACAUGCAAGUUGAGCGCUGAAGGUUGGUACUUGUACCAACUGGAUGAGCAGCGAACGGGUGAGUAACGCGUGGGGAAUCUGCCUUUGAGCGGGGGACAACAUUUGGAGACGAAUGCUAAUACCGCAUAAAAACUUUAAACACAAGUUUUAAGUUUGAAAGAUGCAAUUGCAUCACUCAAAGAUGAUCCCGCGUUGUAUUAGCUAGUUGGUGAGGUAAAGGCUCACCAAGGCGAUGAUACAUAGCCGACCUGAGAGGGUGAUCGGCCACAUUGGGACUGAGACACGGCCCAAACUCCUACGGGAGGCAGCAGUAGGGAAUCUUCGGCAAUGGACGAAAGUCUGACCGAGCAACGCCGCGGGAGUGAAGAAGGGUGUCGGAUCGUAAAACUCUGUUGGUAGAGAAGAACGUUGGUGAGAGUGGAAAGCUCAUCAAGUGACGGUAACUACCCAGAAAGGGACGGCUAACUACGUG